GUCUGCACGUGGGGUGAAACAUAGGCCAAGUGUUGCAUAUUACAGACACACCCUACAUUACAAUCCACAAUUGGACAGGUACAUUUGCAUCAAAUUAGCAGUUACUAAAGUUUAACAUAAGUCAAAACACACAGAUCGUCCUCUUCUUAGGGACCUGGCCUUUUCCCCCUUAUUUCCUGUUAUUGCAGGGAAGCUCAACACAGCUCUCGCUGCUAAAGCAUAUGAAAAUGAUUUAGCCAUACGGUCCUCUAAAAUCACGUAAUGAAACCACUAUGUGAUUUUAGAGGACUUGCUAUGUUGGAGGCCAUCAAGGUUGAAAAAAGAAAACGUAUUCACAACAUUAUUAAUAGCAAUCAUUCUAUGAUUUUGCCAGCUGCAUGGAAGUUGUGUGCUGAGCAUAGAAUGAGAUCGUAUGUCUUGGAUAUAUGGAGGACGAUAGACAAGGUUUUUAAGCUGCGCUGGACGUCAACUGCAAUAAUAAAACUUUAGUAAUUGCUAAUUUGAUGUAAAUGUACCUGCUUGGUUGUGGAUUGUAAUGUGGGGUGUGUUUGUGAUGUGUGGUGCUUGGCCUGUGUUUCAUUUUGCAUAUAGACAUGUACUUUUAUUAUACAGGGUGUUUCUAGGGUCCACUGACAAACUUACAGGGCAGGUUCUGCUCAUGAAAAUGAGUAGAAAAUAUCUUAUGAACAUAGUGUCGGAAAUGCAUAUUUUUC
rnacentral:lncRNA from 1 species